UACAGAGGUCCCAAGCGUUGUUCGGAUUCAUUGGGCGUAAAGGGUGCGUAGGCGGCGCGGUAAGUCGGGUGUGAAAUCUCGGGGCUUAACUCCGAAACUGCAUUCGAUACUGCGGUGCUUGAGGACUGGAGAGGAGACUGGAAUUCAUGGUGUAGCAGUGAAAUGCGUAGAGAUCAUGAGGAAGACCAGUGGCGAAGGCGGGUCUCUGGACAGUUCCUGACACUGAGGCACGAAGGCCAGGGGAGCAAACGGG
rnacentral:rRNA from 1 species